rnacentral:rRNA from 1 species
ACGAACGCUGGCGGCGUGCUUCACACAUGCCAGUCGAACGGAAAGGCCCCUUUGGGGGUACUCGAGUGGCGAACGGGUGAGUAACACGUGAGUAACCUGCCCUUGACUUCGGGAUAACUUCAGGAAACUGGGGCUAAUACCGGAUAGGAAUCCUUGCUGCAUGGUGGGGGUUGGAAAGCUUCGGCGGUUUUGGAUGGACUCGCGGCUUAUCAGCUUGUUGGUGGGGUAGUGGCUUACCAAGGCUUUGACGGGUAGCCGGCCUGAGAGGGCGACCGGCCACAUUGGGACUGAGAUACGGCCCAGACUCCUACGGGAGGCAGCAGUGGGGAAUAUUGCACAAUGGGCGGAAGCCUGAUGCAGCAACGCCGCGUGCGGGAUGACGGCCUUCGGGUUGUAAACCGCUUUCAGCAGGGGCGAAGCUUGUGGUGACGGUACCUGCAGAAGAAGCACCGGCUAACUACGUG